rnacentral:rRNA from 1 species
GACGGGGGGGGCAAGUGUUCUUCGGAAUGACUGGGCGUGAAGGGCACGUAGGCGGUGAAUCGGGUUGAAAGUGAAAGUCGCCAAAAAGUGGCGGAAUGCUCUCGAAACCAAUUCACUUGAGUGAGACAGAGGAGAGUGGAAUUUCGUGUGUAGGGGUGAAAUCCGUAGAUCUACGAAGGAACGCCAAAAGCGAAGGCAGCUCUCUGGGUCCCUACCGACGCUGGGGUGCGAAAGCAUGGGGAGCGAACAGG